AACGAACGCUGGCGGCGUGCCUAACACAUGCAAGUCGAACGGGGUCAUUUUGAAGUAGCAAUACGGAAGGAUGACUUAGUGGCGGACGGGUGAGUAACACGUAGGUAACCAACCCUAAAGCGGGGGACAACCCAGGGAAACUUGGGCUAAUACCGCAUAAGACCACGGACUGGGAUGUUUGUGGUAAAAGCAGCAAUGCACUUUGGGAUGGGCCUGCGGCCUAUCAGGUAGUUGGCGGGGUAACGGCCCACCAAGCCUAAGACGGGUAGCCGGACUGAGAGGUUGAACGGCCACACUGGAACUGAGACACGGUCCAGACUCCUACGGGUGGCUG
rnacentral:rRNA from 1 species